AUUGAACGCUGGCGGCAUGCUUUACACAUGCAAGUCGAACGGUAACAGGCCGCAAGGUGCUGACGAGUGGCGAACGGGUGAGUAAUGCAUCGGAACGUGCCCAGUCGUGGGGGAUAACGCAGCGAAAGCUGCGCUAAUACCGCAUACGAUCUAUGGAUGAAAGCGGGGGACCGUAAGGCCUCGCGCGAUUGGAGCGGCCGAUGUCAGAUUAGGUAGUUGGUGGGGUAAAGGCUCACCAAGCCAACGAUCUGUAGCUGGUCUGAGAGGACGACCAGCAACACUGGGACGGAGACACGGCCCAGACUCCUACGGGAGGCAGCAGUGGGGAAUUUUGGACAAUGGGCGCAAGCCUGAUCCAGCAAUGCCGCGUGCAGGAUGAAGGCCUUCGGGUUGUAAACUGCUUUUGUACGGAGCGAAAAGGCUCUCUCUAAUACAGGGGGCUCAUGACGGUACCGUAAGAAUAAGCACCGGCUAACUACGUGCCAGCCGCCGCCGUAAUAC
rnacentral:rRNA from 1 species